rnacentral:lncRNA from 1 species
GUUGUAUCUGCUUUUGUUUUAUUUUCAUUAGGGAUUCCAAGAUCAUUAUUGGUCAAUUGAUUUAAAGUAUUCUAGUUUAGAUUUUAAUGCUUGUUUAUUGGAUUAAUCAAAGGGCUUGAGUCGAGGUUGGUUCUACUUGCUCCCUGAGGUGGACUCUUGUGUUGCACCAGUGGUUCGACUAAGACUCCUAGGGUGAGGUUUCAUAGUACGGUAGUGUGUGAUCUACUGUAUAAAUGUGUUGAUGUCAUUAGAGCAAGGGCUCUCAGAUUAUACAUCGUGUGAUCUCUGUAUAUGCAACUAAUAAGUUUCGUGAAAAAGCUAUUGGCCUUUAACUGUGGCGUGUGAUUCAUCGUCCAUGUUAGGACAAGCUAUGCUAAUUUAGAGUACUUACGAUGAUUAUUUGUUGGUCGACCACCCCCGGAUUGCGCAAUCCCUCAAGUGAUAUUCAGAUUCUGGUAGGACGUGUAGAGUAUGCCUACAAAUGCUGCUCACACGAAUCUUUUUUGUUGGUUUCAUGGUCUCAGCACAAUCUCAAUUCUACACGAGUAUAGAUAGCCAAUCAGUGCUUAUUGCUAACCCCAUAAGACAUUUUUCCCUUGUGUUUCUCUGUAUUUCAGUCACGGGUACUGGAACUGAGGGUGGAGAGAGAGUUGGUCGGGGUUUUGAUAUCAGAUGAUAUCCAUUAUCGAUGUAUUUCUGAACUGCAGUUGUAUCUGCUUUUGUUUUAUUUUCAUUAGGGAUUCCAAGAUCAUUAUUGGUCAAUUUAUUUAAAGUAUUCCAGUUCAGAUUUUAAUGCUUGUUUAUUGGAUUAAUCAAAGGGCUUGAGUCGAGGUUGGUUCUACUUGCUCCCUGAGGUGGACUCUUGUGUUGCACCUGUGGUUCGACCAAGACUCCUAGGGUGAGGUUUC